rnacentral:lncRNA from 1 species
GUUAUGGUGGAAGAUGUCAUUAAAAACUACUGUUACAUCUUCCCAUAAAACAUUGUUUGUUAGUAUACUGCAUGGAUUUUUUUAUUUGAUCCUGUAGAACCAUGUUCUUGUCUCGUUUUCUCUUGCAUUACUUGCUGAUAGUGAUAUGAUAUGCAAAAGCAUUUGCCUCCGUGUUAAAAUAUAAACAUGGGAGAUAUUGUUUCCUCUAUUCACAGUUGGAACUUUGUGCUCUACAGUCCAUGAUGGUUGUGCAAGAAAAAGAACUGCAGUUGCGGGAAGGAGAGUGCAGGACCUGCAAAUACAACUGAUAAUCCUGAAGACAUACCACCUGUGGAACGCCUGACCCAGGAAACAUUACUUCUUUGGGAAAAAAUUGCUUCAGUAGAAUCCCAGGGUCAAGAAAUUUCAGGAAACCAAAGACAACAAUUAGGAGGCUUUCCCUUAGAACCUGGAAUGGAGUCUUUCCCAUAGAAGGUGCUCAAUAAAUAUUGAUUGAAUGAAUGAAGAAUACUGUUGCUGCUGAUGCUAGAAAAAGAUUAGUAGAUGAACAGAGUCAGCUCAGUGAGGACUUAGACGCAAAGAGACAGCUCUCUAGCAGUCUGGUGAAGUUCCAUGCUUAUCCAGAGAGCCUGCCAACUUUCAAACUAGAACUUCCACCAUCAUCCCUCCUGGUCCUCAGGCCUUCAGUCUCCAGCAGCAGCUAUACUAUCAGCUCUCCUGGGUCUCCAGCUUGCUGCCUGCAGAUCUUGGGGCUUCUCAGCCUCCAUCAUCACAUAAAUCAAUUUCUUCUAAUAAAACUUUUUCUGGCAUCUAUAAAUCUCCUGUUGGUUCUUUUUCUCUGGAGAAGCCUAAUACAGUGGGGACAUGGAUCAUCCCAGAGAGAACGUAGGAGUGAAGCAGGGAGCCCCAUCCUAGCAGCUGGAUCCUAGGGUCCUCCCAGAGUCUUUUCUGAAGAAGUUCCAAGUCCUACCUAAAAUCUCAAAUAAUGGCAACAGAGCCCGGUAAUGUGUUCUGGAUCCAUAGAGGAAGAGGUGUGGCUGGGUGACUUUCC